rnacentral:rRNA from 1 species
AAUGCGAGGAAGCAAUCCCAUAAACCGUGGCUCAGUUCAGAUCGUAGGCUGCAACUCGCCUACGUGAAGGAGGAAUCGCUAGUAAUCGCAGGUCAGCAUACUGCGGUGAAUACGUUCCCGGGCCUUGUACACACCGCCCGUCGCACCAUGGAAGUUGGCCACGCCCGAAGCCGUUACUCCAACCCUUGUGGAGGAGGACGUCGAAGGUGGGGCUGAUGACUGGGGUGAAGUCGUAACAAGGUAUCCGUACCGGAAGGUGCGGAUGGAUCACCUCCUAA